rnacentral:rRNA from 1 species
CCUACGGGUGGCAGCAGUCGAGAAUCAUUCACAAUGGGGGAAACCCUGAUGGUGCGACGCCGCGUGGGGGAAUGAAGGUCUUCGGAUUGUAAACCCCUGUCAUGUGGGAGCAAAUUAAAAAGAUAGUACCACAAGAGGAAGAGACGGCUAACUCUGUGCCAGCAGCCGCGGUAAUACAGAGGUCUCAAGCGUUGUUCUGAAUCACUGGGCGUAAAGCGUGCGUAGGCUGUUUCGUAAGUCGUGUGUGAAAGGCGCGGGCUCAACCCGCGGACGGCACAUGAUACUGCGAGACUAGAGUAAGGGAGGGGGAACCGGAAUUCUCGGUGUAGCAGUGAAAUGCGUAGAUAUCGAGAGGAACACUCGUGGCGAAGGCGGGUUCCUGGACAUUAACUGACGCUGAGGCACGAAGGCCAGGGGAGCGAAAGGGAUUAGAUACCCGAGUAGUC